UACGUAGGGUGCGAGCGUUGUCCGGAAUUACUGGGCGUAAAGAGCUCGUAGGUGGUUUGUCGCGUUGUUCGUGAAAACUCACAGCUUAACUGUGGGCGUGCGGGCGAUACGGGCAGACUUGAGUACUGCAGGGGAGACUGGAAUUCCUGGUGUAGCGGUGAAAUGCGCAGAUAUCAGGAGGAACACCGGUGGCGAAGGCGGGUCUCUGGGCAGUAACAGACGCUGAGGAGCGAAAGCGUGGGUAGCGAACAGG
rnacentral:rRNA from 1 species